UACUUUAAAGUUAAAAGUGCUUUUUAAAAAAUAAUAAGGCUGGGCGCGGUGGCUCAUGCCUGUAAUCCCAGCACUUUGGGAGACCGAGGCGGGCGGAUCACGAGGUCGGGAGAUCAAGACCAUCCUGGCUAACACGGUGAAACCCCGUCUCCACUAAAAAUAUGAAAAAUUAGCUGGGCGUGGUGGUGGGCGCCUGUAGUCCCAGCUACUUGGGAGGCUGAGGCAGGAGAAUGGUGUAAACCUGGGAGGCAGAGCUUGCAGUGAGCCGAGAUGGCACCACUGCACUCCAGCCUGUGCGACAGAAUGAGAAUCUGCCUCAAAAAAAAUAAAAAAUAAAAAAAUAAUAAUAGGGGCCAGGUAUGGUGGCUCACACCUAUAAUCCUAGCACUUUAGGAGGCUGAGGAGUUUGAGUGCUUGGAGGCCAGGCGCUUCAGGCCAGCCUGGGCAACAUAGCAAGACCCCAUCUCUACAAACAAGUUUUAAAAUUUAGCCAGGCAUGGUGGUGCAUGCCUGUAGUCCUAGCUAUUCCAGGGACUGAGGCAGGAGGAUCGCCUGAGCCCAGGAGGUUGAGGCUGCAGUGAGCUAUGAUUGUGCCACUGCACUGCCGCCUGAGCAGCAAUGCAAAACCCUGUCUCAAAGGAAAAAAAAAACCUAGGAAGGGUUGUUCCUAUGAUAAGGAUCAGCCUCCGUGUGGCGCUUCCUUCACCAUUGUCCAAUCCCCAGGCUCCUGGGUGCUUGAGGUUCCCUCGGGAACACAUCUGCUCUGUUUGGGAGAGACCUUGGCGUCUUGGUGGCGGGGUUUGGGGGUACUUGCUCAUGGGCUUAUGGGGCCUCUCUCUGUGUCCCCCCAGGUUUACAAGUCGUCCUGAAGUCGAUCAUGAAGGCGAUGAUCCCUUUGCUGCAGAUCGGCCUCCUCCUAUUUUUUGCAAUCCUUAUUUUUGCAAUCAUAGGGUUAGAAUUUUAUAUGGGAAAAUUUCAUACCACCUGCUUUGAAGAGGGGACAGGUAGGUCCACGGAGCAUGAUGUGUCUUUCCAGUUUUCUCCUUCACAGACAAGCUCUUGGGAGGAUUAGGCAGGGGUGUGCUUCUUUCUCCUGGCAGCUGGGAGGACCGUCUCCUUCAGAGAGCACUGCAGGAGAGGCAGUGGGUGAAAUAGCCUCUGAGAUCUUAGCUGUUGAAAGGGUUGGGGUUCCACAGAAGGUGACCCAGCAGAGAAAGAGUUUAUUUGGAAAUGAUCCCAGAAAGCACCAUCAGGAGAAUGAGGAAGUGAGCAGAGAAAGGAAGGGAUCUGUUAAAGGGUGUGCUACCAAGCGGGUUAUCACUUACAACUGGGACUGGAUCCCCCUGGGCACCUCUGGGAGACAGCAAAGAACACACAACUCAGCUGGGCAUGGUGGCUCACGCCUGCAAUCCCAGCACUUUGGGGGGCCGAGGGGGGUGGAUCACCUGAGAUCAGAAGUCAGAGACCAUCCUGGCCAACAUGGUGAAACCCAUCUGUACUAAAAAAUACAAAAAUUAGCUGGGUGUGGUGGCAGGCACCUGUAGUCCCAAUUACUCAGGAGGCUGAGGCAGGAGAAUCACUUGAACCUGGGAGGCAGAAGUUGCAGUGAGCCAAGAUCACACCACUGCACUCCAGCCUGGCGAAAGAGCGAGACUCCAUCUCAAAUAAAUAAAUACAAAUAUAAAUAAAAAAAGAAUACACACCUCAGAGCCGUCCCAGCCAAGGGGCAAGGGAGCUGGGGUAUUUAUACACUGGCUUCUUUCUGACAUCGGUGAGGACUGCUCCUAGAGUGGGAAUUAAUGCCUGGCACAUCUGGCUGAGUGGAACAGGUAUUCUGAGUGCUUUCAGACCUCAACCAGUCCUGACUUCUAAAGCAAGCAAGAAGUGGGGAGAGUUGGGCCAGAAAAGGGUUAUUGCCUAAAUGCAGUGUGAGUGGUACCUUGUGGAAGGUGAGAGUACUGGAUGAGUCCUCCUGGUCUCCCCCAACCCCCAGGAUGUGCCAGAGAUACCCCAAUUGGGAGUCCUGACACCAGCCAAUCAGAACCUAGCACUCAGCAUUGUUCUGCCCCUCCCUGACUAUGCCCACAUUAACCCUUCAGUGGCUGGGUCUGGGGGUGGGGUGAGCCCCGGAAAAGCCAGGCAGCCCAGAGACACUCUCCCAGGGCUCAGCUCUGAACCAGCAGUGUGGAAGCAGUGUGUCUGCCACGAUCCACACUCAGGAACCAAAUAGCCCUUGGAUACGUUUUCAGUUAAAUCUUUGCCUGUCCAAACUCUAGCUGCUUGCUCUCUAAAGCUCCAGAAUGAAAUGGAAUCAAGUAGGAAAAGAUGCCUUCAGUAUUUCAAUAUUUGGACCACUGGCCAUCUGGGUGCAGACAGACUGAAUGGCAGCUCUGGUUCUGAUGAUUUGGGUCAAGGGAGCUGUGAAUUGAAGGAGUGGAUAGAAGGAAUCAAGAAGCCCAAAGGGGAACCCAGGUGGGCAGAGAAAGAGGUUUCAGGCCCCUUAUUUGGGAAAGGCAGCCACAGAAGAAGAUUCUGUCUGGGAGUGGAUUUCCACCCACCCUCUCCACCCAGUGACCCCCAAGUGGAUCCGCAGAGGCAGCCCCUGAGCCCUCCCUCCCCACUCCUCCCCAGGCGGGAGGGAAAACCCAUUGGGGAAGGUUUAUUUGCAAUGGUUGGAGGUUUGGGGUUUUUUGUGGGUUUUUUUGGUUUGGUUUUUUUUUUCCUCUUUUUCUCUUGCUCCUCUUGUCUCCUUCUCUCCUGGGCUUGUGAAGUUUGCUCAAUAUGGAAUGUCCUAAUUAUUUCUUUCCCUGAUGAAGAAGGUGUUAAUUGAGGCAGAGCUAUUUCUGCUCCUGGCCUCGUCACCCAGGCGGAAAUGCGAGAGAGAGAGAGAGAGAGAGAGAGAGAGAGAGAGAGAAUGAAUAUGGGGCAGGGCCUCUUGGAAAAAUCAGCCGUGAGCAGAGAAACCAGGACUCCUGGAUGCUAGGUUUCUGUGAGGUUUUAUUUUAGACUAGCUAAAGGAGAAGAGGCCAUGGGGUUGGCUUGGGUCCGAGUGGGGUUUUGAGGGGACAGAUGUGGGUGGUACCACCAGAGGGGAAGAAGCCUCGAUUUAGGAGAAAGACUGAAAAGCUAGCUCACGAUUAAAAAUAUAAGACGUGUGAGUAAGAGACAGAUAUAUACAGACACCCAGGCAGUGGGUUAAUUUUAAAAUGUAUUUAUAACCGAAUUCCUCAGACACUCUGGACGCUUGUUUUUCUAGAAGCAACGCUCAGAGUGUUUCGUGUCGGUGGUUGGGGGGUUGAGGGGGAUUGCAAAGCUGCUAAAGAUAGACCCGUUUUCAGUAGCAUUCCUCAGUGUCGGGAGCCCAGUUCCUGUGCGCCCAGCACCGUGCCAAUCGCUUAGAAGGAAGCAAAGAUAAAGUGGAAGGCUUCCUGCUUUCUAAGAGCUUCCAAAAUAGAGGAAACAAGACCCCUCAUUUGCAGCCAUUUUUAAUGGUGAAGGCUAAUGUGUGAUUAUACCCACGUCCCCCUAAAUGUGAAAAUUCAGUAGCUAUUGUAUGCCUGAAAGGGGCCAGGUGCAGUGGCUCACACCUGUAAUCCUAGCACUUUGAGAGGCUGAGGUAGGAGUAUCCCUUGAGGCCAUUAGUUUGAGACCAGCCUAGGCAACAUAGCAAGACGCUGUCUCUGCUAAAAUAAAAAUUUAAAAAUUGGCCGGGUGCAGUGGCUCAUGCCUGUAAUCCCAGCACUUUGGGAGGCCGAGGCAGGCGGAUCAAAAGGUGAGGAGUUCAAGACCUGCCUGGCCAACAU
rnacentral:sRNA from 1 species